AUUCCAGCUCCAAUAGCGUAUAUUAAAGUUGUUGUGGUUAAGAAGCUCGUAGUUGGAUCUCAACAGCCUUGAAGCGGUUAACUUUGUAGUUUUACUGCUUUAUAGGCUGUGCUUUUGCUGGAGGUUUAGGGGUGCUCUUGAUCGAGUGUCUCUGGAUGCCAGCAGGUUUACUUUGAAAAAAUUAGAGUGCUCAAAGCAGGCUAAAAUGCCUGAAUAUUCGUGCAUGGAAUAAUAGAAUAGGAUGUCGAUCCUAUUUUGUUGGUUUUCGGGACUCGACAUAAUGAUAAAUAGGGACAGUCGGGGGCAUUUGUAUUCAAACGACAGAGGUGAAAUUCUUGGACCGUUUGAAGACAAACUACUGCGAAAGCAUUUGCCAAGAAUGUUUUCAUCA
rnacentral:rRNA from 1 species